UUCCCCCCGUGCCCCCGCCCCGCCCGGGGCGCGCCCCGGGCGGGGCGGGGGCACGGGGGGAACGCGAAGAACCUUACCUGGUCUUGACAUCCACAGAACUUUCCAGAGAUGGAUUGGUGCCUUCGGGAACUGUGAGACAGGUGCUGCAUGGCUGUCGUCAGCUCGUGUUGUGAAAUGUUGGGUUAAGUCCCGCAACGAGCGCAACCCUUAUCCUUUGUUGCCAGCGGUUAGGCCGGGAACUCAAAGGAGACUGCCAGUGAUAAACUGGAGGAAGGUGGGGAUGACGUCAAGUCAUCAUGGCCCUUACGACCAGGGCUACACACGUGCUACAAUGGCGCAUACAAAGAGAAGCGACCUCGCGAGAGCAAGCGGACCUCAUAAAGUGCGUCGUAGUCCGGAUUGGAGUCUGCAACUCGACUCCAUG
rnacentral:rRNA from 1 species